GACGAACGCUGGCGGCGUGCCUAAUACAUGCAAGUUGAGCGCUGAAGGUUGGUACUUGUACCCACUGGAUGAGCAGCGAACGGGUGAGUAACGCGUGGGGAAUCUGCCUUUGAGCGGGGGACAACAUUUGGAAACGAAUGCUAAUACCGCAUAAAAACUUUAAACACAAGUUUUAAGUUUGAAAGAUGCCAUUGCAUCACUCAAAGAUGAUCCCGCGUUUUAUUAGCUAGCUGGUGAGGUAAAGGCCCACCAAGGCGAUGAUACAUAGGCGACCUGAGAGGGAGGAUGGCCAACAUGGGACCUGGAACAGGCCCAAGACCCUAAGGGGAGCAGCAAUAGGGAAACAUCGGAAAAGGAGGGAAGUCUGGACGAGGAACGACGGGGGAGUGAAGAAGGGUUUCGGAUCGUAAAACUCUGUUGGUAGAGAAGAAAGUUGGUGAGAGUGGAAAGCCCAUCAAGUGACGGUAACUACACAGAAAGGGACGGCUAACUACGUG
rnacentral:rRNA from 1 species